AAAUUGAAAGAAGCUUUCAAUUAUCCAAAUGGCUCUUCUCUUCCUUCUUGGAAUAACCAAACCUUCUCUGCAGAUUGCUGCACUUGGGAGGCUGUGAAGUGUGACAACUCCACUCAUAGAGUCAUAAGCCUUUAUCUGAACAAUACAAGACCUUAUGAGUUGAGACACAUCAAAUGGUCACUCAAUGCUUCUUCUUUUCUCCCCUUCAUCCAGCUUCAAGUGUUGUAUUUGGAUGGGAAUUACUUGUCAGACCUUUCUCAUUCACGUAAUCUGAAGGAGCUGUGGCUUGAUGCUAAUUACUUGGAGGGCAGUAUUCCAGAAUCUAUUACGUCUCUUACUUCCCUCACCACAUUGACAUUAGACAAUAACAACCUGACUGGAUCAUUGCCACAAGAAGGAGGCUUGUGCAAUCUGAAGAAUCUUUCCCUAUUGAAUCUUGCGUC